AUUGAACGCUGGCGGCAGGCCUAACACAUGCAAGUCGAGCGGAUGAAGGGAGCUUGCUCCUGGAUUCAGCGGCGGACGGGUGGGUAAUGCCUAGGAGUCUGCCUGGUAGUGGGGGAUAACGUCCGGAAACGGGCGCUAAUACCGCAUACGUCCUGAGGGAGAACGUGGGGGAUCUUCGGACCUCACGCUAUCAGAUGAGCCUAGGUCGGAUUAGCUAGUUGGUGGGGUAAAGGCCUACCAAGGCGACGAUCCGUAACUGGUCUGAGAGGAUGAUCAGUCACACUGGAACUGAGACACGGUCCAGACUCCUACGGGAGGCAGCAGUGGGGAAUAUUGGACAAUGGGCGAAAGCCUGAUCCAGCAAUGCCGCGUGUGUGAAGAAGGUCUUCGGAUUGUAAAGCUCUGUUAGUUGGGAGGAAGGGCAGUAAGUGAAUACCUGGCUGUUUUGACGGUACCAAAAGAAUAAGCACCGGCUAACUUCGUG
rnacentral:rRNA from 1 species